rnacentral:lncRNA from 1 species
GGAUGACCUACUACAUUAUAAAACAGUUGUUCAUUAUCUUGAAGUAUAGGUUCCAAUUCUGGAACAUCACCAUGGAAAACUGGAACAUCCAGUUUUCCAUGGUGUUCCAUAUCAGACGUGGUGAGGCUCGUUGAAAUCGUCAAAAGAAUUUUCCCAGAUAUAGAAUCCGAAUUCCAUCCUAGACCAGACCGAACAUUGAAUUCGGAUAAGUGAAUUAAUUUAUAUGUGAUUUUUAUUGCAGCCAUUUCAAGAAUUGAACUGAAAGGAAAUCAGACUUUUAUGGAAAAAAAAAACAUGAAGUCCAGCAUAGUUGCCAGUUUUUGUAUUAUGGCAUUUUCUUGGAUACUAAACGGUUGGCAUCCCAAUGCACACUACAAGCUAAUUACACCAGUGAUAACAGUGGCAGUCAAGUGAAGGAAGGGAUUGAAUGGGAGAGCUAAAUACCUAGCAAAACUCUGGAGGUAUGAAAUCCAGAAUUAAUGUGAAUAUUGUGUGUGUGUGUGUGGAAACAACACACUUUCACCCUGGGAACUACUUGCCAACCAGUAGAUUGUCCGCCAUUAUCGCAAAAUCAUUAAUUGUAACUGUCAAGUCUGGGGUCUCCCGCCUAACCUUCAAUUUAGGUGGUACAUUGAUUCUUCAAAAGUACCAUAUAAAUAAAAAGUCGUGUAAAUUGAGACUAACAUUGUAUAGAAAAUGAAGGGAUAAAUUCUAUAAUAUUCAGUUAAAUAACCUGCAUAUUUUUAAAAAUUAAUGAGAAAUAAUUUAUUGAAAAAAGUUAACAUGAUUGUUUGUUUAUUAUUAUUUACUGUCUGCAUCGUUAUAUAUAUAAUAUUUGCAUGUAUUUUAUACCUGUAUGUUAAUUAUCAGCAUUAAUAAUAAUCUGAGAAUUAAUUAAUUGAUUAUGUA